rnacentral:rRNA from 1 species
CCUACGGGAGGCAGCAGUGGGGAAUAUUGGACAAUGGGCGCAAGCCUGAUCCAGCCAUGCCGCGUGUGUGAAGAAGGCUUUCGGGUUGUAAAGCACUUUAAGCGAGGAGGAAGGCGCCAGGGCUAAUACCUUUGGUGAUUGACGUUACUCGCAGAAUAAGCACCGGCUAACUCCGUGCCAGCAGCCGCGGUAAU